GUAGGUGGCAAGCGUUGUCCGGGAAUUAUUGGGGCGUAAAGCGCGCGCAGGCGGUUCUUUAAGUCUGAUGUGAAAGCCCACGGGCUCAACCGUGGAGGGUCAUUGGAAACUGGAGAACUUGAGUACAGAAGAGGAAAGCGGAAUUCCACGUGUAGCGGUGAAAUGCGUAGAGAUGUGGAGGAACACCAGUGGCGAAGGCGGCUUUCUGGUCUGUAACUGACGCUGAGGCGCGAAAGCGUGGGGAGCAAACAGGAUUAGAUACCCUGGUAGUCCACGCCGUAAACGAUGAGUGCUAAGUGUUAGGGGGUUUCCGCCCCUUAGUGCUGCAGCUAACGCAUUAAGCACUCCGCCUGGGGAGUACGGCCGCAGGGCUGA
rnacentral:rRNA from 1 species